rnacentral:misc_RNA from 1 species
CAGAUCGAUUCCAUUUUCCGUUCGUCCCCGCGCAGGCGGGGACCCAAGGCAAGGAACUGGAUUCCCGCUUUCGCGGGAAUGAGCGGAGAGGGAACGUUAAACGCGGCGCGCGUCGUUGAGCUCGCGCUUCAUGUAGAACUUCCGGUCAUCCUCAUCGAUGACGCGGAAGCCCAGACGUUCAUAGAGUUUCAAGGCGCGAUUGCUGCGCCCCACGGCGAGUGUCAUCGGCUGACGCGCG